rnacentral:rRNA from 1 species
UACGGGGGGAGCAAGCGUUGUUCGGAUUUACUGGGCGUAAAGGGCGCGUAGGCGGUCGUGACAAGUCACUUGUGAAAUCUCCGGGCUUAACUCGGAACGGUCAGGUGAUACUGUCGGACUAGAGUACAGAAGGGGCAACUGGAAUUCUCGGUGUAGCGGUGAAAUGCGUAGAUAUCGAGAGGAACACCUGCGGCGAAGGCGGGUUGCUGGGCUGAUACUGACGCUGAGGCGCGAAAGCGUGGGGAGCAAACAGG